CCACCCAUCGUUAUUGCUCACCUUGUCCGCCUAUUCUUUAUUAUCUUCUUUUCCGAUCCCUACUGCCGUCCGAAUCCAAUCUUUAAAGAGAAAUACAGAAAAAGAAAGAGAGAGGUCGAGCGAGAGAUUCUCCUCAAGUGUUGGUGCCGGGAGAAUGAGCGUUUCUAAUUAGUUAUCCAGGUAUAAUAUCAAUAAAGACGGUAAUCUACCGUCGUUGUUGAUAAAAUACAUACAGGCUGUCUAAGGCUACUGCUUGGGGCCGGCUUGUACUUGGCUCCGCCCCGGCAGGUAUUAGUGUGUUUUUGUUAUUACGAAUCAUAAUAUAUCUAUCUAAACUACAUUUCAGCAUGGCUAGGAUUUCCUAAGUUGAUGGAUCUGAAGAAUCGAUAGAGAUUUGUUAGGUUUACUGCAGUUGGAUCUAUCUCUUCUUUACAUGGAGUUACAGAUUCAACUUGAGAAGGUAAAGCGGGGUGGAGUUUCUUUUUUUUUUUGGAAAAAAUCUAUACCGAUUGGCUAUAAUACCAAUCGGUGUUGCCCUAUAUCGAUUGGUUAUUCACCCAUCGAUUUUCCUUCAAUUUGUAUUACGAAAAGAAGUUCCAGCGAUCAGUAUUACCGAAAGAAUUUCAGCGAUUAGUGACUAUCAAUUAAUUCUAAUCAGUACUACCUAUUCUGAUUGGUAAUAAGAUAUUAUUGAUCGAUACAUAUGGAAGAUUUUUUUACUAAUGUGUUAUUAAAAAUAUUAUUUUAUUUCA